rnacentral:rRNA from 1 species
UGGGGAAUAUUGCACAAUGGGCGCAAGCCUGAUGCAGCAACGCCGCGUGGGGGAUGAAGGCCUUCGGGUUGUAAACCCCUUUUAGUAGGGAAGAAGCGAAAGUGACGGUACCUACAGAAAAAGCGCCGGCUAACUACGUGCCAGCAGCCGCGGUAAUACGUAGGGCGCAAGCGUUGUCCGGAAUUAUUGGGCGUAAAGAGCUCGUAGGCGGUUUGUCGCGUCUGCUGUGAAAUCCCGAGGCUCAACCUCGGGUCUGCAGUGGGUACGGGCAGACUAGAGUGUGGUAGGGGAGACUGGAAUUCCUGGUGUAGCGGUGGAAUGCGCAGAUAUCAGGAGGAACACCAAUGGCGAAGGCAGGUCUCUGGGCCACAACUGACGCUGAGGAGCGAAAGCGUGGGGAGCGAACAGG